rnacentral:rRNA from 1 species
UCUUUAUAAUAUUUAAUUUUUAAGAUUUUUAUUGAUUUUUUUUAUAUUUUAUUUAUUAUUUUAUUGGGGUGAUAUAAAGAUUAAAUAAACUCUUUAUUUUUUAAUUAAUAAUUUUUAUAUUUUUGAUCCAUAUUUUAUGAUUAUAAGAUUAAGU